UACGUAGGGGGCAAGCGUUGUCCGGAAUUAUUGGGCGUAAAGAGCUCGUAGGCGGUUUGUCGCGUCUGCUGUGAAAACUCGGGGCUUAACUCCGGGCCUGCAGUGGGUACGGGCAGACUAGAGUGCGGUAGGGGAGACUGGAAUUCUCGGUGUAGCGGUGAAAUGCGUAGAUAUCGAGAGGAACACCUGCGGCGAAGGCGGGUUGCUGGGCCGACACUGACGCUGAUGCGCGAAAGCCAGGGGAGCGAACGGG
rnacentral:rRNA from 1 species